AAGCUCCUUUUCUCAGGGAAGAACAAUGACGGUACCUGAGGAAUAAGUCUCGGCUAACUACGUGCCAGCAGCCGCGGUAAUACGUAGGAGGCAAGCGUUAUCCGGAUUUAUUGGGCGUAAAGCGCGUGUAGGUGGCUCUUCAAGUCGGAUGAAAAAUCUCCCGGCUCAACUGGGAGGGACCAUUCGAUACUGCUGGGCUAGAGUGCAGCAGAGGGAGGUGGAAUUCCCGGUGUAGUGGUGAAAUGCGUAGAUAUCGGGGGGAACACCAGUGGCGAAGGCGACAACUGACACUGAGACGCGAAAGCGUGGGGAGCGAACAGGAUUAGAUACCCCAGUAGUCCAAGCCG
rnacentral:rRNA from 1 species